AUUGAACGCUGGCGGCAGGCCUAACACAUGCAAGUCGAGCGGAGCGGCGGACGGGUGGGUAAUGCCUGGGAAUCUGCCUGGUAGUGGGGGAUGGCGUCCGGCAACGGGCGCUAGUACAGCACACUAUCAGUUGAGCGUGGGUGGGAUUAGCUAGUUGGUGGGGUAACGGCCUACCAAGGCGACGAUCCGUACCUGGUCUGAGAGGAUGAUCAGCCACACUGGAACUGAGACACGGUCCAGACUCCUACGGGAGGCAGCAGUGGGGAAUAUUGGACAAUGGGCGCAAGCCUGAUGCAGCCAUGCCGCGUGUGUGAAGAAGGCCUUCGGAUUGUAAAGCACUUUAAGCUGGGAGGCGUUACCAGCAGAAUAAGCACCGGCUAACUUCGUGCCAGCAGCCGCGGUAAUUC
rnacentral:rRNA from 1 species